UGCAACACUCAAUCGGAUAAGAAAACAAACCUGAAAUCGGACCCUGAGGUGGUCCGGAUGGUCCUGGUAACUCUAAAGCGUAAGCCCCACCAGCAGUGGCUUGAUACUUAGCAGGAGGUAAGGGUAAAGGUGGGUUAACAGGUCCAACCGGUCGAGCACUCGAAACAACAGGCUGAGCAAGAUGAGUGCGUGGACAUGAUGUCGCAUAAUGUCCUCGCUCUCC
rnacentral:lncRNA from 1 species